rnacentral:pre_miRNA from 10 species
GAAGGUGUACCAUGUGCCCUUAAAGGUGAACCCAGUGCACCUUCAUGAACCGUGGUACACCUUUAAGAACUUGGUAUGCCUUC